rnacentral:snRNA from 1 species
AGCGCGCGACCUAUACCCGG